CCGAAAUAUUCAAGAUAACAUUAUGAUAAUAUCUUUAACUUCUAGAUCAAGUAAGCCUUUCCUUCUAGUUCCAGGAAUUCUCCAAACUGUCACAAAUCUCCAUCAAGAUGAUUUUAUUCUUAAGUUAAGGAAGCCUACAGGAAGCUAAAAAACUAAGGUUCAGUACAAUAGUGGCAUUAAAGCAGCUUUUAUACGUACCAGUGAAAUCUUCAAAACAAGUUGCUGCCAGAAGAGAUAAGGCUGCAUACCACAGCGACAAGAAAAAUAGUAGGAUUGGCUGCAGAAAAGCAAUCUCCCCUAUGCACGUUCAACGAUGAGGACUAGAUCCUAUAAAGAGCAGAAAAACAGAGGAAGACAACUAAACCUCACAACUAUAUACAAGCCC